rnacentral:rRNA from 1 species
GGACGAACGCUGGCGGCGUGCUUACCACAUGCAAGUCGAGCGGAAAGGCCCUGCUUUUGUGGGGUGCUCGAGUGGCGGACGGGUGAGUAACACGUGAGUAACCCGCCCUUGACUUUGGGAUAACUUCAGGAAACUGGGGCUAAUACCGGAUAGGAGCUCCUGCUGCAUGGUGGGGGUUGGAAAGUUUCGGCGGUUGGGGAUGGACUCGCGGCUUAUCAGCUUGUUGGUGGGGUAGUGGCUUACCAAGGCUUUGACGGGUAGCCGGCCUGAGAGGGUGACCGGCCACAUUGGGACUGAGAUACGGCCCAGACUCCUACGGGAGGCAGCAGUGGGGAAUAUUGCACAAUGGGCGGAAGCCUGAUGCAGCAACGCCGCGUGCGGGAUGACGGCCUUCGGGUUGUAAACCGCUUUCGCCUGUGACGAAGCGUGAGUGACGGUAAUGGGUAAAGAAGCACCGGCUAACUACGUC